rnacentral:lncRNA from 1 species
CCUAUGUCUGAUAGGUUGUCCAGUGGUUGAACACAAUGCCUUUGCCUACUCGCUGUCUGUGGAGAGAAUCUCUUAAAUGUUUUAUACAUUGUCAGAUGGUGGUGGAACACACCUUUAAUACCAGCACUCAGGAGACAGAAGCAGGCAGAUCUCUGAGUUCAAGGGCAGCAUGGUAUACAGAGUGAAUUCCAGGACAGCCCAGGCUACUCAGAGAAACUUUUACUUGGUGGGAAAAAAAAAGUAUGCAUUUAUCCGUGAAAUAAUAUGAGCACAUGCCAUGGUGCACAAAAACUCAGAGGACAGCUUGCUGGAGUGUGAGUUCUGGGGAGUCAACCCCAGGCCUGGCUGCAAGUGUCAUUACAUGCUGAGCCAUCUUACUAAUGUACAAGUCUCUCUCCAGGGAUUCUGGUACCAAGUGGUAAAAAUAGAAAAAAAAAAAAUGAAAACCCUCUUCAAAUGUCACAAACUAGCUUGGGGAAUAAAAAAAAAAAAUGGCGAGUAAAUUAUUUAGAUAUUCUACUGCUGUGAGAAUUGCCAAGAACACUUGUUAUUAAAUAACACUAAUAAUAAUCAUAAAGUUAAGAGUAGUUAAUAUUGUGGCACAACCUCCUCUUGACUCCUUCUCCUAUGUAACCUGAUGAAGUCAUCUCAAUGGGAUCCCGACCUGCUGACUAGAAUUUCUUCCAGGGAUGUGAGACCAAGAGAGCUCACCCUUCCUGUAUUAUCCCCACCCAUUCGGUACGCAUUGUAAUGUGACUUUGACAAGGAGCGUGUACCAAACACCUGUUCUGACAAAUAUCAGGGAAAGCAAAGGUAGAACUUACAUGGAGGACGUCACUUCAGGCACACAUGGCAGGUCACAUGACCCAGGAGGACAGCAGAGACCACAGAGUGUCUGAGAGAUGGGGGCAGGAGGAAAAGGCAAGGACAGCAGGUGCUGAUGGGGGUGAGUAAGAGGUAGCCAGGUGGCUGUCAGUGGAGCCUAAAGGCAGAGCUGCCAGAUUAAAAGUUCUAGUAAAGACAUGCUUAGAAGAGAAAGCUGGAGGGGUCAACAGAGACUAAAAGUUUUGUUUGGUUGCUUACAGGAGCAUGGAGAAAGUCUAUAAAGGCGCAGAGCACCAUGCCAGGGGCUACUCUGAUGGAAAAACAGUUGGGACAGAAUGUCAGAGCUCACAGAGCCUCAGAGGAACCCUUGGUUCUUCCACAACCACAGAGAUAGCCACUGUGUCUGCUUAGCCUCAUGUUAGAAAACGUUUUCCAUUUGCCAGGAACUCCCACAUAAUUAUCAUGGGAGUCUCAAUAACAUGAGAGGGAGCCCUCUUGUACAAAUGAAGAUAUCAGCAAACAGCAAGCAGUAAUCACUGGAAGGUGGGAGAGAGGUGGGGGACCCAAGGAGAAAGCCACACUCUCCGCCCCUGGAAGACAGACAGGGAGAUUGGGGUGUGUAUUAUUAUAAAAGAAGAUAUUGACCAUGGUAUGAGGCAGACUUGCAAUGGUAUCUUGCACUUUUGCCUCAUGCCAGCUUUCUGCACUUCAGUGUCCUCUCCUGCAAGGCAGCGCUAACCAUAAGACCUCCUCGACCAUGAGUAGUGUACUUUCUACACGUGAACCUUUUGAUGCACUUGCCUGCAACUGAGAGUUCAGCUGAGACUUAAGAGUGACUAAGGAAGCAUUAGUGACAGUCUCUAAGCCAGCCUGCUGUGGCCACCAGUAUCUGUU